rnacentral:tRNA from 1 species
UCAUUAGGUGGCUGAAAGUAAGUAAUGGUCUCUUAAACCAUAUUAUAGUAAAUUAACGAUUACUCUUAAUGAA